AAAAAGAGUCUUGCAGAACCUUGAGAGCAACCCUGUUCAGCUAUAUUGAGAGUUUCUUAACUUAGUUGUGGCGACAAGAAAGAAGAACAGAAAAAGGAGCAAGCAGUUUAUGUCUCAGAAACUUCCAGAAUCGACCAGAGUUUCUUCUUCCCUUUUGAUCUUUGUUUUUGUUCAAUUCAUAAACAUGAUUUCAACUACGUGUUUGAUUUUCAAUAUAAUUAUGAUUGCUUAAACUCUAUGUUAAAAUGAUC
rnacentral:lncRNA from 1 species